CGCAUCCCUGCGGACUUCGUCUUUCUCCUUGAAUGAUAGCAGAGUGAGGGUAUUUAAUGCCCAUGUCAGUUCCCUCUUUAAUCCACUUUGAAGAGCUAGAACAAUUCUUUUAUUAUUCUGUUCAGCGAAGGCGGAGUGAACUUGCAGGGAAGGGCCAAGGAGUGUUGACGGAGCUGCUGAAUCAGCUGCUGCUGCAGCAGCUGCAGAAGCAGCGUUACUAUUUCCGCUUCCAAAUGGCCGACCUCUUUUCGCCGGCGGUCCGACGGAGCCACCCGAUGAUCCGCUUAGCUUUGAUUGCUCUCUUUUCUG
rnacentral:misc_RNA from 1 species